AUGAGCUCCUCGGACGACACCUGCGGCAAGAAGGCGUCGUGGCCGGAGCUGGUUGGGAAGUCCAUCGAGGAGGCCAAGAAGAUCAUCAUGAAGGACAGGCCGGAUGUGAAGAUCAUCGAGGUCUUCCCGGUCGGCACCGCCGUGACCGGGGACUUCAGGCCCGACCGUGUCCGCAUCUUCGUCGACACCGUUGCGGAGAUCCCCCGCAUUGGCUAG
rnacentral:rRNA from 1 species